UGAGGAAUAUUGGUCAAUGGACGCAAGUCUGAACCAGCCAAGUAGCGUGCAGGAUGACGGCCCUAUGGGUUGUAAACUGCUUUUAUAUGGGGAUAAAGUGGGGAACGUGUUCCCUUUUGCAGGUACCAUAUGAAUAUGGACCGGCUAAUUCCGUGCCAGCCGCCGCGGUAAUACGGAAGGUUCGGGCGUUAUCCGGAUUUAUUGGGUUUAAAGGGAGCGUAGGCCGUUUGGUAAGCGUGUUGUGAAAUGUAGGAGCUCAACUUCUAGAUUGCAGCGCGAACUGUCAGACUGGAGUGCGCACAACGUAGGCGGAAUUCAUGGUGUAGCGGUGAAAUGCUUAGAUAUCAUGAAGAACUCCGAUUGCGAAGGCAGCUUACGGGGGCGCAACUGACGCUGAAGCUCGAAGGUGCGGGUAUCGAACAGG
rnacentral:rRNA from 1 species